UUGUAAGGUAGAUAAUUAUGUCCAUCAACAUUUUCAAAGUCGUGAUCCGAUUAUAUCAUCGAGUCUGUUUAUAUGCAAUAUACAAGAAUCUGAUAAAAAUUAUCAGGUUCUUUUUUGA
rnacentral:sRNA from 1 species